rnacentral:rRNA from 1 species
GGGUGCGAUCAUACCAGCACUAAUGCACCGGAUCCCACCAGAACUCCGUAGUUAAGAGUGGUUGGGCGAGACUAGUAGUAGGAUGGGUGACCUCCUGGGAAGUCCUCGUGUUGCACCCC